rnacentral:misc_RNA from 1 species
GGAUAGCGCUUUUUACAUAUACAUACGACAACUCGCACAAUCUGAACUUUAUUAAUAAGUUAGAAGUGGGCGCGUAGGCAAGGAGACCAGCCAUAUAGCCAGCAAAGUGUAAAAACCAUCAUGGCUGCUUCAUCAGGGAGGCUUAGUGCCAGACUCUUCCUGUCAGCCAAGGGCUUCGCCCAACGCCACCCUGUCUUUGCCAACUCGGUCACCUACGGCUCCAUCCUGAGCGUGGCCGAGGUCAUGCAGCAGACCAUUGCUGGCUGGGAGCACUACGACUGGGCACGGGUGGGCCGCAUGGCAGUCAUCGGUGGCUGUGCCUACGGCCCCCUGGGAUUCUACUGGUACCGGUGGCUGGACAAGGCACUUCCAGGGACGGCCAAGUUGACCGUCAUGAAGAAGGUCAUCGUGGACCAGUGUGUCUCAGCACCGGUAUUCAUCGCAAUCUUCUUCACAGGAUCAAGCAUAAUGGAGGGCAAAAAGGACAUCUUUGCUGAACUGAAGGACAAAUUCCCCCAAACCUAUGCAGCGAGUUGUUGUUUCUGGCCCAUUGCACAGACGUUCAACUUCUUCUUCUUACCGAGUCACAUGCGGGUUGUGUACGUGGCCUCAGCGAGCCUCGUCUGGUCCAACUUCCUUUGCUUCAUGAAGAGAAUCAGCGUGCACAAGGAGGAGGAACCUCAGUCAGUUGAAGCUGCUGCUCAGGGAUGAUGUCUGUCUCCUAGUCAGUACUGAAAGGCCAUUAACAUCCAACCCAUGUCUUACGACGCUGCCUUGUGAAAAAGCAAAGCACUGCCCGAGUUUGCGGUCCUUCUAUAGUCAGCUAAGUGUCCUGGUGGAAAUACUUGAUGCAUGUAUUGGAGUUGAGAUGCCUACUGGAUCCUACCUCUUGAAAAACAAAUGCUCUUUUCAGUGGUGAUCGUGUUUUUCCCAGUCAUCUCGAAGUCCAUGCCAGUCUUUUUUGUGGUGGAGAAUUGCCACUUUCUGAGAUUUCUGUCAAAUUGAUAGAGAUGUGUUUGUAAACAGCAUCCUUUAUAAUGCUCCCCAGUGUACUUAAAGUGAGUUGAACAAAUAUGAUACGUCACUUUGCUGAAAUUGGAUUCAAAAGUGAGGAAAAUUGAAGGUAACGAUGAACUUCAAAAUGACUCCAAAAGGUGUUGGUUGCUUUUUUAUGUUCUUUCAGAGAGGUGUUCAGUUAUAAAUUAUUGCGGACAAAUAGGCCAACUCUUGUCACAAGGUUGCCAAAGUACUUUAUAUAAGGACUGGAAAAACGAAAACAAAGAAAAGGAGAGACCUCAGACUUCCCUGUUUCCUCUUUACGAUAGUAUUUUGUGGGAGUGCUGUACCGAUAUAUCAAGAAUCAACUGCAUACACAAGUACUGUUUAACAAGGAGGCUGCCAUUUGCUCUGGAGUAUUAAUUUAAGUAAACUAUGUAGAUUGGGUAGAAUGUUGAGUAUAAUAUAUUUUUUAUAUCAAGCUUUUUAAAAUUAAAUUGAUGUGUUUUGCUUCUGGAAUAUAACUGAAUUACAUUUUUCAAAAUAUGUAAUCUUUAUUCUAUUUACAUGUAUACAGUGUUUGGAAUGAAUGAAACAUUUUUAGACAAAUUUUGAAGAAACUUUUUAUUCAUUCCCUUCAACUGAAAUGUACUCCUAUAAAUAUAAAUUUGUAAAAAAAUCCAGAAUCCUGAAUGGAAAUUCACAAAGACAAAUUCGGUAAAAUUAUUUGGAAGUACAGACUCUGCAAAAUUAUUUUACAAUAGAUCAUACUUUGUACACUCACACCAGCCUGUUUUUUCCCAGAUUAAAUCACAAAGCCUGAAUCUGUGUAAUGGCUGGCAGAAGCACAUACAUGUAAAUUUGUGCCCCCAUUUUACUGGCAUCAAUAAAUAUUGAUAAUUAAUAAGUAUUGAUAAAUAAUUAAUAAGAAAAUAUGUCCUUACACUCUUUGUUUCCUGUAACUGAAAGUGCCUCGGAGAAAUAUUUUCCACUUUAUAAUAAAUGUAACUAUCAAGACCAUUUUAAACAAAACAUGUUCUUCAAUGUGUAUAAUCUGAGUAAUGAAUAUGUAUUUUGAAUAAAGAAACUAGCAUGCCUAAAUGGAAUUCUACAAUAACAGAUGUCUUCUAUUGAUACCGUGCAGUAACAGGUGUUGAGGUAUUUACUUAAGUACCAGAGUUGCAGUUACUUAUAUAAUAAAGGCUUUGUGCGGUAGCCAUCUUGUAGGGUUGUUCUUUUGUUCCACAGGGAAGCUUCCUUUUUGCAUACUCUGGGAACAAGUGUACUGGCCUGCAAUAUGGCAGCCAUGCAAAUCCUCUCUACUGUCCAAAGACACUGCUGUAUAUUGAAUACAAAAGGGAACCAUUCGCUUUAUUCAGAACAGCUGCAUAAUUGCAGGGAGCAAAUCAAUAAAUUAAGUCUUUUGAAGUAAAAUCACAUUAAACCAAAUGAUACACAAGAAAACCAUCACGUUUUUAAAUUGGAACAAUUUAGGCAAAUUACACCAUACAGCAAUAAAGUCCAUUUAAUGGGAUCAGCACAAAUCAUUUCAUAGAAUUUGGCAGUUAAACUGCUUUAUAAACAUGGAAAACUUGUAACCUCGUUUUCAAAUUCAGUACUAAACAUAUACUUUUGUAUGUGGAAAAAUCAAGACACUCAAACAUUUCAAGAAUUCUUGUGCAUUCCUACGGUAUUUAGACUGGACAAAGACUGAUCAUGUGAUUAAAUUUUACAUUUAUCAGACAUGACCAGUUGAUGUGGUAUCCCACUUGCAUGCACGUCACAAAGUUCUUAGAUUUAAAUUGCGCAUGCACUUUGGCGAGUUGUAAAUAUGCACAGAAUGGGCAGGUUGACCUGCACCUGAGAGGUCUGAAAAGCCAGGAAAAACCCCAAAUCAGUUGAAAACGUGGCAUGCUACAUGUAAAACAAUGUGCACUUCAAUCCAUUUCAAGUAAUCAAUGGAUGGCAUUUGCAAAAAAAGUACACGUACAUGCGUACAAGUGUCAUUCACCAUAACCUCUUGUGCAUUUGCCACACCUGUUGCAUGCACAAACCGGACACAGUAUCCCCACAUAUUUGCACAGGGGCAGGUCUGUGGUUGGUACAGUGUAACUAUAUACAUGUAUGCAGCAUUCUCAACUCUGGGUAAAAUUGUAAACAAACUGACAAAAUUAAAAAUAUCACCUCUAUUUUCAAAUCCUGCUAAUAGGAAGAGUAUUAUAUUUGUCUUAUACGUACACACGCAUAUACAUGUACAACGGAUUCAACUGUAGGGUACAUGUAUAAAGACUUGUAUCUUGGUUAUGCUUAAGAAUGUUUUUUUCCUUGAAAUUUCUUUAAGUGGGAAUGUGAACCGAAACUGCAGAUCGAUACAAGGCAUUACAAGGUAUAAUUUGUGGCUUGUGCAAGUAGGCUUACAAGUAAACAUAAUUGACACCUUGUUGCCUACAUGUGUACAUAUGAACACUGUCAAAGUGUAUGUCAUUCGCUGAAUCACCAUUACAUUGUAUUGUUAUGUACAUGUAUCAAUCCAAACAGUUCAAAUGCAUAGUGCUACAGCAAUAUCCAAGAAAA